AACAAGAUGUGUUCGCAACAGGCUUUUAGCAAGCUUGUCAACAAGUUGUAACAAUGCUGUUAUUUCAUCAAGUUGCUACAAGGUUGUCACUCACAACUUGUCAACAAGAUAUGUUCGCAACAGGCUUGUAGCAAGCUUGUCAACAAGUUGUAACAAUGCUGUUAUUUCAUCAAGUUGCUACAAGUUUGUCACUCACAAUUUGUCAACAAGAUAUGUUCGCAACAGGCUUGUAGCAAGCUUGUCAACAAGUUGCAACAAUGCUGUUAUUUCAUCAAGUUGCUACAAGGUUGUCACUCACAACUUAUCAACAAGAUACGUUCGCAACAGGCUUGUAGCAAGCUUGUCAACAAGUUGUAACAAUGCUGUUAUUUUAUCAAGUUGCUACAAGUUUGUCACUCACAACUUGUCAACAAGAUGUGUUCGCAACAGGCUUGUAGCAAGCUUGUCAACAAGUUGUAACAAUGCUGUUAUUUCAUCAAGUUGCUACAAGGUUGUCACUCACAACUUGUUGACAAAUUGUUGAAUUGCAGGACGAUAACAAGUUGUUGGAACAACUUGUAACAAGUCUGUUGAGCUCAACAACCUUGUAGCAAGUUGUCAACAAGCUGGGAACAAGCAGUGCGAACACAUCCUGUUGACAAGUUGUUGGAACAGCAUUGCUACAAGUCUGCUGCAGGUU